GGUAAAAUAAUCUCGCCCGAGGGAGAUCCGGGCCGUAUAGGUAGUGUGCCUGUUUUGCACUGAUGAGAUGCUUUUUCCUCAUCUGGUCAAUUAAAAGCCUAACCAUUGUCUGAGUCUCAAGGUACAUAGGAUCCGUGAGAGGGCGAUAGUAGACCGGGUCAUUAAGUUGACGUGUCGCCUCCAGAAUGUAAUUAGUACGGUCCUGUAUUACAAUUUGCCCUCCCUUAUCCGCCGGUUUAAUAAUAAUCUCAUGGUGAGAUUUUAGUUUGUUGAGGGCCUGUUGUUGAUGGACAGUAAUAUUGGCCUCCCCUACAGGACGUCGAGGUCGGAGGUCACGGAAGGAGCGGAGGUCCUGAUCGAUGAGCUGGCGUAUAGGCUUCGAGACGGACUUCAAGGCUGGUUCCCAGAUAGACGGCGUAGUAAAAGGUAACACCGCCUGACCAGGUGGUGGAGUGGUCAGCGCCGGCGAGGAGGACGACGGACAGAGUCGCUUCCGGGUCGCGGCACUUGCGAGGGAGAGACGGUUGGGUCUAGGGGCUGAGGAAGCGGUAAUGGUGACUGGGGGCUCCGGGUCCGGCGUGGGAGAUCCAAGGCUCGUCUCCAGGACGCCAGGAGGGUCAAUGACUGCCGAGGUGGUCCGCACCGGUGGGACGACCGGAGGAGGACGUGGCCUGGUCACUGGUGCCAUAGUGGACUGUGGUCGUCUGGGAAGCGGUGGAAAGGCCCCAAGGUCCGAGAGGAGCAGCGGAGUGGCAGGCGGUGGCGGAUCCGGGGCCGACAGCAGCAGCCGUAGUGCGGAGAUGGAAGACGGAG